rnacentral:rRNA from 1 species
GGGGAGAGCUCGGGGAAACUCGAAUUAAUACCGCAUACACCCUACGGGGAAAAGGGGGCGCUUGCGCUCUCGCUAUUGGAUGAGCCUAAGUCGGAUUAGCUAGUUGGUGGGGUAAAGGCCUACCAAGGCGACGAUCUGUAGCUGGUCUGAGAGGAUGAUCAGCCACACCGGGACUGAGACACGGCCCGGACUCCUACGGGAGGCAGCAGUGGGGAAUAUUGGACAAUGGGGGCAACCCUGAUCCAGCCAUGCCGCGUGUGUGAAGAAGGCCUUUUGGUUGUAAAGCACUUUAAGCAGUGAAGAAGACCUAACGGUUAAUACCCGUUAGCGAUGACAUUAGCUGCAGAAUAAGCACCGGCUAACUCUGUGCCAGCAGCCGCGGUAAUACAGAGGGUGCAAGCGUUAAUCGGAAUUACUGGGCGUAAAGCGAGCGUAGGUGGCUUGAUAAGUCAGAUGUGAAAUCCCCGGGCUUAACCUGGGAACUGCAUCUGAUACUGUUGGGCUAGAGUAGGUGAGAGGGAGGUAGAAUUUCAGGUGUAGCGGUGAAAUGCGUAGAGAUCUGAAGGAAUACCGAUGGCGAAGGCAGCCUCCUGGCAUCAUACUGACACUGAGGUUCGAAAGCGUGGGUAGCAAACAGGAUUAGAUACCCUGGUAGUCCACGCCGUAAACGAUGUCUACUAGUCGUUGGGGAACUUGAUUCCUUAGUGACGCAGCUAACGCAAUAAGUAGACCGCCUGGGGAGUACGGCCGCAAGGUUAAAACUCAAAUGAAUUGACGGGGGCCCGCACAAGCGGUGGAGCAUGUGGUUUAAUUCGAUGCAACGCGAAGAACCUUACCUGGUCUUGACAUAUCUAGAAUCCUGCAGAGAUGCGGGAGUGCCUUCGGGAAUUAGAAUACAGGUGCUGCAUGGCUGUCGUCAGCUCGUGUCGUGAGAUGUUGGGUUAAGUCCCGCAACGAGCGCAACCCUUUUCCUUAGUUACCAGCGGUUUGGCCGGGGACUCUAAGGAUACUGCCAGUGACAAACUGGAGGAAGGCGGGGACGACGUCAAGUCAUCAUGGCCCUUACGACCAGGGCUACACACGUGCUACAAUGGUAGGUACAGAGGGCAGCUACACAGCGAUGUGAUGCGAAUCUCAAAAAGCCUAUCGUAGUCCAGAUUGGAGUCUGCAACUCGACUCCAUGAAGUAGGAAUCGCUAGUAAUCGCGGUUCAGAAUGCCGCGGUGAAUACGUUCCCGGGCCUUG